AGGAGGAAGCGACUGGAAACGUUUUCAGCCUUAAUUGACUGAUCAAAUAUUCAAGCCGGAGCUGCGUGGUUGACGCAAAAGGGCAAGCGCAAUAACGUGACUAUUUGAUUUUACUGCAAACCGAAGAGACAGCGAUGGUGGCCUUAAACAUGGCCUAUUCAUUGUUGAUGAAUCCAGCGUAGGCUCCCCCAAAAGAAAAUGACGUCCGCUUCGAUUAUCCCAACUGUAUUUAGCCUGCGUAAUUAUACACGCGCCGUAUUUACCCCGUUAGAUGCAACUAUCCUAACAUUGAUUUCGGUUUCACAACUCUCCCUUUUUGCUGGAGAGUUACGAAUUCAUUAUAAUUAUAAGCUUCUUCAUGUACUUUAUUGUCGGCGCGUGACCCGGCCGCCGACGACCUCGCCCACGUUCCCAGGCUCCGCAGCUGCAACAAUUCACUCGUCAGCCUUUGCUUGAGCGUCAGCACCCCGAAUGCGUUCAAUAAGGCACUCGGACCUGUAAUCGGCCGAUUCGAAUCGCGCUGAUCAGCCGAUCUUCGGCUUCGAUGCCGAAUGAUGGCAUCCGUCCGUCCAAUCAUUGUCGUUUCACGCGAAGCGGACUUGCAUUGUACUGGCCGGAAUACAUUGAGCACAGCAAGGGCAGAUUGGGGGAAAGAAGAGAAAGCAGACGGCAUGGGAAAAAAAAAAAAGACAGACGGCUUGUAUACACACAAAAGACCGCAUCCGGGCGACUUCUAUAGGCGAAUGGCCCCACACGAUCACGCACAUUGUUCGAAUGUUUUCUGAAAAGGACAUGGAAAUAUGAUGUACACUUGGAUUCAUCCCGUAAGUCUUCCAUCACGACGGAUGAUUUGAGGGUAUUCCAACCAUCGUCAGCAUAAAAAAUAAGAUUUCACGACGUUAUUUGAGAGAAGCGUUCAGGCGAUAUGUUCACUGAGAUUCGUGUCUACAUUCUAAAAUCAAACCUGGCGAUGCAGUUUUCGAACCCAGCAGAUCUCUUCAAGCACAAGGAAACUUCGGAAUUCGACUCAAUGUAUGGAGAGAAAACCUUGACUUUUUCAACCAUCGGAUGAACACUCCCGGCCAAAGUUAUAUUCAUCCAUGUAUGUUUUCUGCAACCAUGCACAUCUUACCGUAUGACAGAUAUAUGUGGUUUUACGUAUUUAAGAUACUUCAAACGUGACUGUCUGUCGGAAUAACUCAUGAAAAAUGAAAAACCAAAUAAAUUUUGGGAAAUAAGUA